GAUGAACGCUGACAGAAUGCUUAACACAUGCAAGUCGAUUCAAGUUACCUUCGGGUAAUGAGGAUGGCGGACGGGUGAGUAACGCGUAAGGAACUUGCCUCUUGGUCUGGGACAACUGUUGGAAACGACAGCUAAUACCGGAUAUUAUGGGAUUCUCGCAUGGGAAACUUAUGAAAGCUAUAUGCGCCAAGAGAGAGCCUUGCGUUCCAUUAGCUAGUUGGUGGGGUAACGGCCCACCAAGGCGACGAUGGAUAGCCGGCCUGAGAGGGUGAACGGCCACAAGGGGACUGAGACACGGCCCUUACUCCUACGGGAGGCAGCAGUGGGGAAUAUUGNNNNNNGGGGNNNNNGCCUGANCCAGCAAUUCUGUGUGCACGAUGAAGGUCUUCGGAUUGUAAAGUGCUUUCAGUUGGGAAGAANAAAGUGACGGUACCAACAGAAGAAGCGACGGCUAANUACGUGCCAGCAGCCGCGGUAAUACGUAUGUCGCAAGCGUUAUCCGGAUUUAUUGGGCGUAAAGCGCGUCUAGGCGGAAAAAUAAGUCUGAUGUUAAAAUGCGGGGCUCAACUCCGUAUUGC
rnacentral:rRNA from 1 species